UGAGGAAUACAUCGGAAUCUACUUUUUCGUGGGGGAUAACGUAGGGAAACUUACGCUAAUACCGCAUACGACCUACGGGUGAAAGCAGGGGAUCUUCGGACCUUGCGCGAUUGAAUGAGCCGAUGUCGGAUUAGCUAGUUGGCGGGGUAAAGGCCCACCAAGGCGACGAUCCGUAGCUGGUCUGAGAGGAUGAUCAGCCACACUGGAACUGAGACACGGUCCAGACUCCUACGGGAGGCAGCAGUGGGGAAUAUUGGACAAUGGGCGCAAGCCUGAUCCAGCCAUACCGCGUGGGUGAAGAAGGCCUUCGGGUUUGUAAAGCCCUUUUGUUGGGAAAGAAAUCCAGCCGGCUAAUACCUGGUUGGGAUGACAGUACCCAAAGAAUAAGCACCGGCUAACUUCGUGCCAGCAGCCGCGGUAAUACGAAGGGUGCAAGCGUUACUCGGAAUUACUGGGCGUAAAGCGUGCGUAGGUGGUUGUUUAAGUCUGUUGUGAAAGCCCUGGG
rnacentral:rRNA from 1 species